rnacentral:lncRNA from 1 species
UUGACAAGAUCAACACAUUGCAUUCAGUCCAAGAGGAAUUUGCACCCUAUACAAAGUGAGCUUCCCUGUGUUCUAGCUCUUGGAUCCUUUUUGGCCUUAGUCUCUGGUAAGCAGGUUUCAAAUCUGUGGAGUGAGUAUCCUCUGAGCCAGUUUUUUGUUCAUUUGUGCUUUGUCCAGGAUUGCCCGAUGGAAGUGCAGAGCUCCUAGCCAGUUUCACAGUAUCCUGCUGAAGCACAGAGCUAGCACUUGUUGAUGCACAAGCUUUGGCUUGUUCUACUGAACUCCUUUCACUUUGUUUGGAUUUGUUAGGAGGUGGUUUAUAAAAUGUCCCUGGGGGUGGUUGUAGUGUUCUUGGUGCCCUGAAGGCAGCAAGAGAAUGGGCAUCAGGACUGUUCCCAUCUGUUGCUGUCCUUCCUGACCUGACAGAAAGAGAAUAUGGCUUACUAGGAAGAAUGGCAUUAGCUGAACUGUUACUACAUGAUGAUGAUAAGGCACCUGCAGUUCCACCCUCAAGUGCUCGGUUCUCCUGGGGCACAUUUGUCACAAUCAUUGCUGUCCUUGCUGUGAUAUCAUAUUGUUUAUAUUGCUUGUCCCAGGUUUUUUGAAGCAUCUGAGUGUCACAACAAGAAAGUCUGCAGAAUGUAUUGACAGCAGGGAGUGCCUUAACCUCUGAAACUUCUUCAAUAGUAGGGCUUCUGCCAACCUUUUCUGGACUUACAACUCCUGCAUUUCGUGAAUUUCUCUCAUUCAAAACACAGGGAGGAAGUAUUCGAUCUACAGAAACAAAUGAAUGACUGUCUUUCUCUGAAGCUGGAUUCACAGCAUCACCUAGAAACACAAAUAGAUGUUACUUGAGUCUUCAGAAUUUUUAGACAGAAUGCAAGCUUCACCAAUGACCUCUUCACAGCUCAUACAGCAAUGGGAUAACAGCUUUUAGUGCUGUUUCUGAUGGUGAGUCAUCAAGCACCUGUUUUUCCUGGUAUUUUUAUUUAGAGACUGAACUCUAGCUGAAACAGAAAUACCUUGGAUAUCUGUGCUGCUGGAAGAUCUCUUCUCGCCAAUUCUUUGGGAACGAUGAUAGACUGGACUUCCCACAUCAUCUAGCAUCUGGGUUGGAAAGUCUCCUGAACACUGAGAUAAGUUACCAUGUGAUGUAUGGAUACUGUUGGCUG